rnacentral:rRNA from 1 species
GAAGGAGGAGCUUGCUUCUCUGGAUGAGUUGCGAACGGGUGAGUAACGCGUAGGUAACCUGCCUGGUAGUGGGGGAUAACUAUUGGAAACGAUAGCUAAUACCGCAUAACAGUAGAUGUCGCAUGACAUUUGCUUAAAAGGUGCAAUUGCAUCACUACCAGAUGGACCUGCGUUGUAUUAGCUAGUUGGUGGGGUAACGGCUCACCAAGGCGACGAUACAUAGCCGACCUGAGAGGGUGAUCGGCCACACUGGGACUGAGACACGGCCCAGACUCCUACGGGAGGCAGCAGUAGGGAAUCUUCGGCAAUGGACGGAAGUCUGACCGAGCAACGCCGCGUGAGUGAAGAAGGUUUUCGGAUCGUAAAGCUCUGUUGUAAGAGAAGAACGAA